rnacentral:rRNA from 1 species
AUACAGAGGGUGCAAGCGUUAAUCGGAUUUACUGGGCGUAAAGCGCGCGUAGGUGGCUAAUUAAGUCAAAUGUGAAAUCCCCGAGCUUAACUUGGGAAUUGCAUUCGAUACUGGUUAGCUAGAGUAUGGGAGAGGAUGGUAGAAUUCCAGGUGUAGCGGUGAAAUGCGUAGAGAUCUGGAGGAAUACCGAUGGCGAAGGCAGCCAUCUGGCCUAAUACUGACACUGAGGUGCGAAAGCAUGGGGAGCAAACAGGAUUAGAUACCCUGGUAGUCCAUGCCGUAAACGAUGUCUACUAGCCGUUGGGGCCCUUGAGGCUUUAGUGGCGCAGCUAACGCGAUAAGUAGACCGCCUGGGGAGUACGGUCGCAAGACUAAAACUCAAAUGAAUCGACGGGG